ACCAACUUCCUUUCAAAUGGAAACACCUUCUUCCCCCCCACACAAAAUUUGAACGUUUUAUUUUGGAACAAAAUUUCGUAAAUCGUAUUUGUGAUGAUCUUAUUGAAACUUUACACUCCGGAUAAAUCCAGAAAGGAGGGAUCUAGAGUGCAUCCGCUGGAGGUGGAUGAACGAAGGAAUAGUGCCAUCUUUUUAUCUGAUAGAAAAUAAAAACGCAUCAAAUGAUCUGCGACGGGGUGUUGAAUUAGCCAUAACCGUUGGCGAUAACGUUCGAAAUUUCCAAAGUCUUAAAGACUUCGGUAAAGUCAAAUAAAUUUUGCUUUGUUAGUUGAUGGAAAUGGACGUGGAAGCAGAUGGCUUCUAAACAGACUUGUUUUAUCCGGUUAUGAACGGCAUACCGAUGGACUGGAGCGCAAAAAAAAAAUUUGUUUCUUGAUAGAAAUUCCGUCCACAAUAUUUAUAUAACCAAUACUGGUACCGCUUCUUCACGAUAUUUUUGUCAAUAGAUGGCGAGCGGAGCGCUCAUAGUGGUCGCGAUUCCGGCAAUCUGGCAACCUGACACUAUUUCCCGCGAGGCGAGAUGGAUGGUUUGUGCUUCGUUGCUGUUUUGCAUGUUCUUUUUGUUUCGGGUGUUGUUGGACACAAACCGAUGUUUUUUCGUGACAGAGAGCGCGUUGGCACAACGCAAAGAUGCUUUUUCAUUCAUGUGCGUUCUCGAAAUAGGGAACGUGAAACAAGUGAAGCCCACGUUAAUGUUUGCUGCAUGUUUUGAUCAUCUGUAGGUGGCUCGCCAUUAGAGACUGUACUUGAAGACCCUUCAUCUUCAUUCCGAAAGUGCAAUUCAGUAGUAGCCUUGCAAGAGUUUUGUUGGGCUUCGUUUGUUUGCUAGUGCAAAUCGUAACGUCGAUUCUCUACUUCAAACAAAAUCAAUAUGCCCAUAAAAAUGAGAAAACGGUACAUGUAGAAUGAGAGUUGGGAGGAGCAAAGCAGCAUGUUUUGUUUCAUCAUAUUUCAAUGUUGUAAAUGUUUGAUUAGGGUCUUUCAAAGUUGUAAAUGUUUGAUUGAGAUCUUCUUAAGUUUUGGGCCAAGGAUUUGAUUGCCAGUGGAAAGGAAAUGGUAACAAAAUUUUGGUGAGUUUUUAAAAAGUGAAUUUAUGUUAAGCUAGUUUUAAUAUAAGGAAAAAAUGGUUAAGUAACAGAUAAAUUUAAAGAAAGAUACCAAAGGAAGUGUGCCAUUCCAAGUUGCCAUAACAUGUUACUUGUAAGUUUUUACAUAACUGUAUUUCAUCUAACAUUUCCACAAUGCCUGUACCAUCAUAGUACUUACAGUUGCAGUAUUUUGGCUGACAAAGAAAAAGUCUAGGUGAAUGACACUAGACGAUGCUAAGAUGACGAAUGUCUUUUCCAGAUCAGAAUCAUGUGCACUUCCAUCUUAAUUUGUUUGCAAGCCUUAAGAUACACAAAACAGGGUUUUUGUGAGAUUUGAAUAAAACACCAAUACAGGAGGCUAGAGAAAUGCUUCCUACCACCAUUUAGAUCAUGCCCUUGUAGGCAGUUUCAGUACGAAAGCAAAAGCUAUGCAUGUAGCCCCUCCUUGUCUGCUGUAUUUGUUCUUCCUGCUAUAAGAUUCGUUCAAGCGCAGGAACUUCUAGGACAUCAGUCACGGGUUCCCACCAGACAUCAGGUAGGCAGACGAAGAACAUAUCGUGGGAAUAGGAAUCGUUAAUAUUUUGAAUGGUGAAAAAAUCAGCGUCGAAAAAGUUUUUAUCGGUGCUUUCGUCUUGUAGUUGGUUUACAGCCACAAAAUUUAUGGCUGUAUUUCCACCAUGGAGUAUUCUUGUUUCUGAUGUGAAGCCCGCUCUAACAGAAUGAUGUACGCAAGAACUCACCGUCGGAAUUCUAGUCCUUUAAGGAAGUGGCUCAGGACCGGGUGAUCAACUCUUGGACAUGAACCUUCAAGAGAACAAUAGAAACACGACGUGUCGGGUAUCACCGAAGAACCAUCUUAGAAUCGGACUGUUAUGUCUAGCCUGGCGACUAUGCAAGAUUUGAUUGCCUGUCUUCAUAUCAACCAAAGCCCGCGACUUUUUUGUAUUAACGCGCUGCGGACUAACAGGUUACAAUAGGGGCAAGUCCCGCGUUGAUCUGGUCAAUUUGUUGUAAGGCCAACCCGAUCAGUGGUUGUUCAACGCGGGUCAUGGCCGAGCACUAGCUUAUCGCUUUUGAGCACUAUCGCUUGCAAGCAAACGAAAUCGAACUGAUACGUUCCUUUACAGGCUUGUUUGCCGUUUACCUUUUUCCCUAUUUGUACGUAGCUAAACCCUGCAUUUGAGUUAACAGCUCCAGACUGUAUGAUGUAGUAUAUCAGGAGUAGUUAUGGGGGUAUUAUUCUCUUUGCACGUUAGAGCUUGAGCUGCAGGUGUAAGGUAUGUAUACUAGAUGGCGUAUGUUCUGUACGGAAACGCUGUGGCUGAGCUGCGAGUGUGAGGUAUGUAUACUAGAUGGCGUAGUAAGCAAACUCCAGUACGGUCCUAUUGGACGUGGAAGCGCCACUGUACUAACAAUAUGUCUUUUACUGGAGCACUCUGGCGUCCCAAAAUAUGUCAAGAGUGUACUGGCGUUUGCGUAAAGAACGGCUGCAGUCUGAACCGUAGCACGUGUAACUCAAUGGGUUUUUGCAGUCGUUGCUACUCCUGGUAUACUUUGUGAGCAUAAAAAAUUUAAAUUUUUAGACAAACGAAGUUGCAGUUGGCUCCACUAGAGGCGCUGAAUACAUUUGCACAUCUGGGAACGUUGGAAACUGUUGCACACUAGGUGGCCGUAGAUUCACGAGGCAUAACGGAUAACGCACAAGAAAUUCAAUAGAGAUUUACACCAGGAGAAUUCGAGCUGUUCAGCAUAACAGUAAGCUGAUGGAGUUAUGCAACUAUUUUGUUGCUAAUACAAAAACAUGCUCCAUAUAUUUGUACGUAUUAACAGCUGAAACUAAAUGCAACUUCUUUCACAGGGCUAACGCCUUGUGUUUGUGAAAUGUUGAAGUGGUUAGUUACUUCGUCACUUCUAGAUGUACUGAUUAUUAUUUUUUGUCAUUUAUUGUGUAGGCUUUCAGUUUUAUUUUUUUUUUUUACUUUAAAUCAUACCUCUUUCUCUUUGAUUUUACUUAAUCUCAAUUUUAUUCUUGUUGCUUUAAUUUUGUAAUUUGUUUAGUAAUCCUUAGUUCCUUACUCUUUGCAGUUUGCCUACCCGGUUUCCAAGAUCUUAGCAUGUUGCUGAUGUAACAACCUUGAUACAAUCUGAACUUUGAAGCUUACCAAGUGUUCUAGCGUGGCAGGAAUUUAAGAAGAGGUAUUUUUGUGAUAUAUUUCCUUGAAAAUUACUAAAGGAAAUAAUAGUUAGUGUUAUAAUCUCACUAACAAAACAAAAAAAUUCCAUUUCUCGCAAAAGGUAUAGGUUUGAAUAAUCUUCGUUAAAAUACAUCUUGGGUUGUAUAUAAAGUAAAAUUUUUUAAAAACUAGUUUUCCCAACAGAUUCAUUAUGCACGUGUCGUAACCACCCAACAGAAAAUAGUUGUUGAUUUUCGUUUUGCACAGAUAAGUAAAUAGGUUUGAACAAUCCUCAAAGCAUUUCUCAGGUCUUACUUCUUUGCUGUAUCUUCUAGAAUUUGUGCCAUCCAGCCCUUUGGAAUAUGAAACUGUUCAUCAUGGCCUAGGGUUUGUUGAAACAAAAACAUUCUAUUAAUUGUGCAUUCUUUAGAUAACUCUGGCUAAGAGGAUUAUAUUUCUUAUUGGCUGCCAGCCAACUUUUAUCUCAAGUAUUUAUGAAUAUUCCUUGUUAAUUUUAUAAGUGUUUUUCUUACAGGUGUUGGUGUGUUGUUGACAAGAAGUUCUACAAAAAAGCUUUGCAAAAAGGGAGCUGUUAAUUCAAAGAAAGUCCAGUGUAAAUCCAGCUGCUGUGUUUUAAAAACUAUGUUGUUGAUAACAACAAAUAUGAUGCAUGUAUUUUCAUCUACAGCUGAAUUGAGAUGCAAGUUCUUUUGUAGGUGUAACACACUGUGCUUGUGUGGUGUUUAAGUAGUUAGUUGCUAUAGUCAAAUGUCUAGCAUUGUAUCCUUAGAAUAGGUAAGUUGUUAAUUUCUAAAUUAUUUACUUUUAAAGUAUUCACAGCAAUUGUAGAACAACUAAAAUAAAUUAUUGCCUUCAAUUUUGA